rnacentral:rRNA from 1 species
CAGUGGGGAAUAUUGCACAAUGGGCGCAAGCCUGAUGCAGCCAUGCCGCGUGUAUGAAGAAGGCCUUCGGGUUGUAAAGUACUUUCAGCGGGGAGGAAGGUGUUGUGGUUAAUAACCGCAGCAAUUGACGUUACCCGCAGAAGAAGCACCGGCUAACUCCGUGCCAGCAGCCGCGGUAAUACGGAGGGUGCAAGCGUUAAUCGGAAUUACUGGGCGUAAAGCGCACGCAGGCGGUCUGUCAAGUCGGAUGUGAAAUCCCCGGGCUCAACCUGGGAACUGCAUUCGAAACUGGCAGGCUUGAGUCUUGUAGAGGGGGGUAGAAUUCCAGGUGUAGCGGUGAAAUGCGUAGAGAUCUGGAGGAAUACCGGUGGCGAAGGCGGCCCCCUGGACAAAGACUGACGCUCAGGUGCGAAAGCGUGGG